rnacentral:rRNA from 1 species
UACGAGGGGGGCGAGCGUUUGUUCGGAAUUAUUGGGCGUAAAGGGUGCGUAGGCGGUUUGGUAAGUCUGAUGUGAAAUCUAUGGGCUCAACUCAUAGUCUGCAUCGGAAACUGCCGGGCUUGAGUAUGGGAGAGGUGAGUGGAAUUCCUGGUGUAGCGGUGAAAUGCGUAGAUAUCAGGAGGAACACCUGUGGCGAAAGCGGCUCACUGGACCAUAACUGACGCUGAUGCACGAAAGCUAGGGGAGCAAACAGG